rnacentral:rRNA from 1 species
GAUGAACGCUGGAGGCGUGCCUAAUACAUGCAAGUCGAGCGAAUGGAUUAAGAGCUUGCUCUUAUGAAGUUAGCGGCGGACGGGUGAGUAACACGUGGGUAACCUGCCCAUAAGACUGGGAUAACUCCGGGAAACCGGGGCUAAUACCGGAUAACAUUUUGAACCGCAUGGUUCGAAAUUGAAUGGCGGCUUCGGCUGUGACUUAUGGAUUGACCCGCGUCGCAUUAGCUAGUUGGUGGGGUAACGGCUCACCAAGGCAACGAUGCGUAACCGACCUGAGAGGGUGAUCGGCCACACUGGGACUGAGACACGGCCCAGACUCCUACGGGAGGCAGCAGUAGGGAAUCUUCCGCAAUGGACGAAAGUCUGACGGAGCAACGCCGCGUGAGUGAUGAAGGCUUUCGGGUCGUAAAACUCUGUUGUUAGGGAAGAACAAGUGCUAGUUGAAUAAGCUGGCACCUUGACGGUACCUAACCAGAAAGCCACGGCUAACUACGUGCCAGCCGCCGCCGUAA